rnacentral:lncRNA from 1 species
UCCAUGUCCUGUCACCCUUGUUCCAUUUUUCCUCCUUUGUCACAUGUUUCUCCUCUGGGCUUCUUUGCAUUUGGCUUCACAAGGGCUCACUGGUCUGCCCUGCACUGAUUUGGGAUCCUGUGGUGGAUUCCCUCACAGGCUCAGACAUGGGCAGAGCUGGGAAUGAAUUAACCAUGAAUUAACCUCCCCACAUCUGAGCUGAGCCCUCUUCACUAUGCUGCAGCCAUGCCUCAAGGAUGUGUCUGUCCUCCACUCACCUCGUUGCCUCCAGACAGGCCCCAGACACUUCUUGAAGUGGUACCUUCAGCUCAGGCUGACCUUCAAAGGGCAAAGUGCAUAUUGCGGCUGGACUUGUAUCACCCCCUGAUUCACCAAACUUCCCUGAAGUCUAAAUUAUUGUUGUUCCUGUACCUGUUCAAAAUCUGGUGGAGUGUGAGGCUCCACACCUUGCCUUCCAUGUUAAUCACCAUGACUGUGUGAUUGUUACCAACAAAUCUGAGACAAGACUGUUUAAAGAUAAUUUUUCUACUGCUGUGUCU